rnacentral:rRNA from 1 species
GAUGAACGCUCGCGGCAGGCCUAACACAUGCAAGUCGAGGGAGGAGCCUUCGGGCUUCGACCGGCGUACGGGUGCGUAACGCGUAUACAAUCUGCCUUUCACAUAGGGAUAGCCCGAAGAAAUUUGGAUUAAUACCUAAUGGUAUAUAGAUGUGGCAUCACCUUUAUAUUAAAGCUGAGGCGGUGAAAGAUGAGUAUGCGUUCUAUUAGCUAGUUGGAGAGGUAACGGCUCCCCAAGGCGACGAUAGAUAGGGGUUCUGAGAGGGAUAUCCCCCACACUGGUACUGAGAUACGGACCAGACGCCUACGGGAGGCAGCAGUGAGGAAUAGUGGACAAUGGUCGGAAGACUGAUCCAGCCAUGCCGCGUGCAGGAAGACGGCCUUAUGGGUUGUAAACUGCUUUUGCAGGGGAAGAAUAAGGACUACGCGUAGUUUGAUGACGGUACUCUGCGAAUAAGCAUCGGCUAACUCCGUG